rnacentral:precursor_RNA from 10 species
UAGUUUUUGAUGGUAAAGCAGAUGAUGAGGCGGUCAAUGUGGGAUGUCGUAGUGCUAUUGUAUUAUCACAGCCAGCAUUGAUGAGCCAGGUCAGAUGCAAACUGCUUGACGGUAUAC